rnacentral:rRNA from 1 species
GAUCAAGUGUCUUAAGGGCAAUUGGUGGAUGCCUUGGCAUGCACAGGCGAUGAAGGACGUGAUACGCUGCGAUAAGCUACGGGGAGGUGCGAAUACCCUUUGAUCCGUAGAUUUCCGAAUGGGGAAACCCACCUAAGGUACUUGGAAAAUCAGAGCAGCCGGAAGGUCGCAAUGCCGACUUGCUGCUGUGGUUUCCAAGUAUCGAUAAUAGGUAACUUACCCUGAAUACAUAGGGGUAAAGUGGCGAACGCGGGGAACUGAAACAUCUAAGUACCCGUAGGAAAGGACAUCAACCGAGACUCCGGAAGUAGUGGCGAGCGAACCCGGACCAGGCCAGUGGCGAUUGAGAGACAAGCGGAACCUUCUGGAAAGUAGGGCCAUAGUGGGUGACAGCCCCGUACGCGUAAUGCAAUCAAUCGUCCUCGAGUAAGGCGGGACACGUGAAAUCCUGUCUGAAAUUGGGGGGACCACCCUCCAAGCCUAAGUACUCGUGCAUGACCGAUAGCGAACUAGUACCGUGAGGGAAAGGUGAAAAGCACCCCGACAAGGGGAGUGAAAGAGUACCUGAAACCGAUUGCCUACAAACAGUGGAAGCCCAAGGUUCGUCCUGGGUGACCACGUACCUUUUGUAUAAUGGGUCAGCGACUUAGUGUGACGAGCAAGCUUAAACCGCUAGGUGUAGGCGCAGCGAAAGCGAGUCUGAAUAGGGCGUUCAGUUCGUCGCAUUAGACCCGAAACCGAGUGAUCUAGCCAUGAGCAGGUUGAAGGUAAGGUAACACUUACUGGAGGACCGAACCCAUAACUGUUGCAAUAGUUCGGGAUGACUUGUGGCUAGGGGUGAAAGGCCAAUCAAACUCGGAAAUAGCUGGUUCUCCGCGAAAUCUAUUUAGGUAGAGCGUCGACCGAAUACCCCAGGGGGUAGAGCACUGGAUGGGCUAGGGGUCCUCACCGGAUUACCAAACCUAACCAAACUCCGAAUACCUGGGAGUACUAGUCGGCAGACACACGGCGGGUGCUAACGUCCGUCGUGAAAAGGGAAACAACCCUGACCUACAGCUAAGGUCCCCAAGUUAUGGCUAAGUGGGAAAGGAUGUGAGGAUCCCAAAACAACCAGGAUGUUGGCUUAGAAGCAGCCAUCAUUUAAAGAAAGCGUAACAGCUCACUGGUCUAAAUAAGGGUCUUUGCGCCGAAAAUGUAACGGGGCUAAAGCCAUACACCGAAGCUUAGGGUUUGGUCCGCAAGGGCCAAGCGGUAGCGGAGCGUUCUGUAAGCUGAUGAAGCCAUACCCGUGAGGGGUGGUGGAGGUAUCAGAAGUGCGAAUGCUGACAUGAGUAACGUAAGGGGAGUGAGAGACUCCCCCGCCGAAAGACCAAGGGUUCCUGCUUAAAGCUAAUCUGAGCAGGGUUAGCCGGCCCCUAAGACGAGGCGGAAACGCGUAGUCGAUGGGAACCACGUUAAUAUUCGUGGGCUUGGAGGUAGUGACGGAUCAUUGAGGUAGUCCAAUCUUAUCGGAUUGAACGGGCUGCUGCGUGGUUCCAGGAAAUAGCUCCUCCUUAUAAACCGUACCCGAAACCGACACUGGUGGUCUGGUAGAGUAUACCAAGGCGCUUGAGAGAACUAUGCUGAAGGAACUCGGCAAAUUGCACGCGUAACUUCGGAAGAAGCGUGACCCUUUUCUACGCAAGUAGAGGAGGGUGGCACAGACCAGGGGGUAGCGACUGUUUAUCAAAAACACAGGGCUCUGCGAAGUCGCAAGACGACGUAUAGGGUCUGACGCCUGCCCGGUGCUGGAAGGUUAAGAGGAGGGGUGCAAGCUCUGAAUCGAAGCCCCAGUAAACGGCGGCCGUAACUAUAACGGUCCUAAGGUAGCGAAAUUCCUUGUCGGGUAAGUUCCGACCUGCACGAAUGGCGUAACGACUUCCCCGCUGUCUCCAGCAUAGACUCAGUGAAAUUGAAUUCCCCGUGAAGAUGCGGGGUUCCUGCGGUUAGACGGAAAGACCCCGUGCACCUUUACUAUAGCUUUACAUUGGCAUUCGUAGUGGCAUGUGUAGGAUAGGUGGUAGGCUUUGAAACCUGGGCGCCAGCUCAGGUGGAGCCACCCUUGAAAUACCACCCUUAUUACUAUGGAUGUCUAACCGCGGCCCGUUAUCCGGGUCCGGGACAAUGUAUGGUGGGUAGUUUGACUGGGGCGGUCGCCUCCUAAAGAGUAACGGAGGCGCGCGAUGGUGGGCUCAGAACGGUCGGAAAUCGUUCGCUGAGUGCAAUGGCAUAAGCCUGCCUGACUGCGAGACUGACAAGUCGAGCAGAGACGAAAGUCGGUCAUAGUGAUCCGGUGGUCCCGCGUGGAAGGGCCAUCGCUCAACGGAUAAAAGGUACGCCGGGGAUAACAGGCUGAUGACCCCCAAGAGUCCAUAUCGACGGGGUUGUUUGGCACCUCGAUGUCGACUCAUCGCAUCCUGGGGCUGGAGCAGGUCCCAAGGGUAUGGCUGUUCGCCAUUUAAAGCGGUACGUGAGUUGGGUUCAGAACGUCGUGAGACAGUUCGGUCCCUAUCUGCCGUGGGUGUAGGAAUAUUGAAAGGAUCUGUCCCUAGUACGAGAGGACCGGGAUGGACGGAUCUCUGGUGGACCUGUUGUGGCGCCAGCCGCAUAGCAGGGUAGCUAUAUCCGGACGGGAUAACCGCUGAAGGCAUCUAAGCGGGAAACCCACCUUAAAACGAGUAUUCCCUGAGAACCGUGGAAGACGACCACGUUGAUAGGCCGGGUGUGGAAGAGCGGCAACGCUUGAAGCUUACCGGUACUAAUAGUUCGAUCGGCUUGAUCGUUCUCAUU